rnacentral:lncRNA from 1 species
CAUAUAGUUUUGUCCUUCGGGGCAGUAUUGCAUGGGCCAAAAGAUGUCUCACAAAGGGCUGGAGGGUUUCGAAGCUUUAUAAAAUAAGAUGGCCUGACUGAACAACCGAUAUGAGACUAAAGUUCCACUCUCUUCGCAACAUCUAGCAUUUAAAUUAGCUCCCAUUUUCUCAAACACUAGUUGAGUAUGUUUUCUUUUUGAUAAAAGCUAGUUGAGUAUGUUGAUUUGGUGUGCACUUAAAUUUUAGCCCU